rnacentral:rRNA from 1 species
UAGGGAAUCUUCCACAAUGGACGCAAGGUCUGAUGGAGCAACGCCGCGUGAGUGAAGAAGGUUUUCGGACCGUAAAGCUCUGUUGUUGGUGAAGAAGGAUAGAGGUAGUAACUGGCCUUUAUUUGACGGUAAUCAACCAGAAAGUCACGGCUAACUACGUGCCAGCAGCCGCGGUAAUACGUAGGUGGCAAGCGUUGUCCGGAUUUAUUGGGCGUAAAGCGAGCGCAGGCGGAAGAAUAAGUCUGAUGUGAAAGCCCUCGGCUUAACCGAGGAAUUGCAUCGGAAACUGUUUUUCUUGAGUGCAGAAGAGGAGAGUAGAACUCCAUGUGUAGCGGUGGAAUGCGUAGAUAUAUGGAAGAAUACCAGUGGCGAAGGCGGCUCUCUGGUCUGCAACUGACGCUGAGGCUCGAAAGCAUGGGUAGCGAACAGGAUUAGAUACCCUGGUAGUCCAUGCCGUAAACGAUGAGUGCUAAGUGUUGGGAGGCUUCCGCCUCUCAGUGCUGCAGCUAACGCAUUAAGCACUCCGCCUGGGGGAGUACGACCGCAAGGUUGAAACUCU